AUUGAACGCUGGCGGCAGGCUUAACACAUGCAAGUCGAGCGAGCGGCGGAUGGGUGAGUAAUGUCUGGGAUACUGCCUGAUGGAGGGGGACAACUUCUGGAAACGGUAGCUAAUACCGUAUACCAUCAGAUGAGCCAAGAUGGGAGUAGCCGGUAGGUGGGGUAAUGGCUCACCUAGGCGACGAGCCCUAGCUGGUCUGAGAGGAUGACCAGCCACACUGGAACUGAGACACGGUCCAGACUCCUACGGGAGGCAGCGGUGAGGAGUAUGGCAGAAUGGGCGCAAGCCGGAUGCAGCCAUGCCGCGUGUGUGAAGAAAACCUUCGAGUUGUAAAGCACGUUCAGCGAGGAAGCGUUACUCGCAGAAGAAGCACCGGCUAACUCCGUGCCAGCAGCCGAGGUAAUUC
rnacentral:rRNA from 1 species